CAUACUACGCCUUAAUUAGCUUGUGGUGCUCCUUGGCGACGCUUUUGGGUAAGGACAGCGACCAGGAACCUAGCCACUUUCAGGGUCGUAUGGGCAUCCUUAUCCUGCAAGAUUUGGGCAAGGUGGAAUUUUGGUGGAGUACCCUCUAAUUUCUGUAUGAUUGAUCCCAACAAGUUUGCCCGUGGCACCUUAAAUAAGGGGCAAGUGAACAUAAUGUGCUGAAGCGACUCCGGCAUCUCCUUAUCACAUUCGCACAUGGCGGAGGUUUGGCCCUUUGAGAAUCUAUGUCUCAGGACAUUGGAGGAAAAACAUUAAACCUCGCUUUGGUGAAGGCCAGCCUAUGGGCAACAGUCGAAAGGGAGGAGAGGUAUGAUGGAACGCAAUAAGUUAAAGUGAUACCAAUGUUCUGGGGCGAACAAACACCUCCCCCCAGCAUAUAAUUUUGCUGUAAAUCGAUGUCAUCCAGUCUUUGGCGGAUCAGUCUUUGAGCAGUGAUUUGAUCUAGUUUUAGGGAAUCUAAGGGAGAGAUUCCAUAGCUCAGGAGUUUGGCAUGAAUUCUACUGGUCCAAAGGCUGGGGAAUUCAUCUCGCCAUAAGCAUUGGGCAAGGUAAUGGUCUGGUAAUCUAUGCCACAAUGAUAACCAAUAAUUGAAGACUUGCUUCCACAGGCAGGUUUCUAAGGAUGCGAUCCUCAAUUCUAAACGCAUGGCUGCGUUGCUUACGCACAGGGGAGCAUUAGGAGCCGACGUAGGAAUUGGUUUUGCAAAGUCUCAAGAGGAGCAAGGUCUGUCAUCACGACCCAGAGCGGGGCAGCAUAAGCAAGCACGGGAACCACUUUUGCCUUGAACACCUUUAGGGCCGAGGGAACAUGCAAAGCUCCAUCCGAAAAGAAAAAUCGGAGGAGCGCAUAUGACAGAGUUUUGGCCUUAUUAAGUAGGUGUUGAAUAUGUGCUUUCCAC